rnacentral:hammerhead_ribozyme from 1 species
GUACUGAUGAAGAGUCCCAGGAUAGGAUGAAACAGCUGUCCAAUAC